GGAUCGACAGUUUAUCUUAUCACUUUAUUACUUGUUGAUCGUAUAAUAGCGAGUAUUAUACGAGAUAAUGAAUACGAGUAUGAUACAAAGUAUUAUGCAAGUAUAUAUGAAUGUUAGUAUAACGUAUAGGACGAAAGAUUAUAUGAACUAGUAUACGUAAUGGAUACGAGGAUUUUCGUAAUAAUGAAUCGGUGAAUUUUGAG
rnacentral:lncRNA from 1 species